GAUAAACGCUGGCGGCGCACAUAAGACAUGCAAGUCGAACGGACUUAACUCAUUCUUUUAGAUUGAGAGCGGUUAGUGGCGGACUGGUGAGUAACACGUAAGCAACCUGCCUAUUAGAGGGGAAUAACAGUGAGAAAUCAUUGCUAAUACCGCAUAUGCUAACAGUAUCGCAUGAUACAGUUAGGAAAGGAGCAAUCCGCUAAUAGAUGGGCUUGCGUCUGAUUAGCUAGUUGGCAAGGUAAUGGCUUACCAAGGCAACGAUCAGUAGCCGGGCUGAGAGGCUCUGCGGCCACAUUGGGACUGAGAUACGGCCCAG
rnacentral:rRNA from 1 species